rnacentral:tRNA from 1 species
GGCUGAAUGGCGUAGUGGUUAGCAACCCGGACUGCUAUGCCGAAGGUCCCGGGUGCGAGUCCCGGCUGGGGCA